ACAGGGUGCCGGGUCAGGGUUUUGCCCCUGGUGCCUGCAUCUCAUGUGGCCUCUGUCUGGAGGGGGAGUUGCUCCCUACUUCUGAGUCAGUGUUUUCCUGUUGGCCCUACUGUGGGUUAGUUCUCUGCAGCUUCGGAUGGUGUCCAGAGUAUUCCAGCACUUUCUGGGCCACCAAGGAUGAUGGUGGCAACUCACACACUGGCCUGUGACUUCCCUUUGCUGUCUGUCAGAUUACUCUCUUCUGUGGUACCACCUGGUGUUGGGGUGUGUGGCCAAAGCAGUGGUUUGAUCCAGGAGCAUGGGGGUCACAGUGUGGGCCCCCAGAUGCUUUCACCGCCCUGCCUCACCACCUGCCCCCGGCAGCUGUGAAGCUGAGUGUUUGAGUGACCGACGGGCCUCAGGAUGGAGGCUCUUCCUGGGCUGCCUAAUCCCCUUCUUGUCUCUUCCUGGGCCUCCAUUUAGCUCUGCUGUUAGACAUUCCCCUGGAUGGGCUGACUGUGGCCGCAAGCCUGCACCUCUUCCUGCCACAAGCAGGGUCCAGGAUUUCCCAAGUUUCGGUGGAAAGCACAGGCUCUGUUUUACCUGCCACUAGUCCUGGCUGCACAGUCUCCUCCCCAGUUCGUUUGGUUUGGGUGGUGGUGACAUGGAAACACAAGCUGUGUUCUACACUUUACAUACAGCAGCUUCUUAAAUCCUCAGACCCUGACAUCCCACCAGUCUGACGUCUCAUGAAGAUGGUCUUAUUAACUUGGUCUGCAUUAGAAUCGCAGGGGCUACUUUUUUGAAAUGCAGAGUUCUGGGCCCCCCCAGGAUCUACCACCCCAGACUCUCUGGGGACAAAGCCCAGAAGAUCCGCACUUUAACAAACUCCUUGGACAAUGUGUAAGUAGCAGGUGUUUGAGACGCUGCACUCAAGGAAGGCUGGGGAAGUCAUUUGGUCUACAGCUGUGCACCUCGCAGAACCUGGCACCAACCAGGGAUCGAACGGAUGCUUGAAAAUAAAUGGCACCUGUGGAGAAAGUGCUCUGUCCCUGACUCUGUCAUCGGAGCCCGCAUUCGCCACCGCCAGCUUGAGGACCCUGGGCUCCGAGCUCUGCCUGCAGGAGAAGGGCUCUCUCUCUCUUAGCCAGGGGAUUCCUCUUCUGCUCCGGGAAGAGAAAAUGGGUCUGAGAAGGAACCAUCAUCCUACAAGGCAGAAGACCACUCCCAAACCAGCUGACGUUGGCUGUGUGCGGGCUGGACCUUUGCUACGUGACGCCCAAGGCAGGGCCUCUACCCAGCCCCACCUGCUGUCUGGGCCACAGCAUGACUUUCCGGGGCCCUGAGCUCCUUCGUCCUCCUGGACCCUUUCCUC